CAGGAUUACACUCCCAAUUCCAUCAACCCUGAUCUACUGGAGACAGCUACCUUUGAAUUAUCAAUUAGAGAAACACAUGUAAAGGACACAAUGAGAGGGCACUAUCUGCAAGAUGAGGAGAGAACCAUUAGAUAUCAACCCCACUGGCAUCUUGACCUUGCACCUCCAGAAUUCAGAACUAUGAUACAAUGCAGAAGUCUACUAUUAAUUUUGUUG